rnacentral:rRNA from 1 species
GCCUGCGGAAGGAUCAUUACCAAUUCAACGGUGUGGUCGCGGCCUCCGGGGGCUCCCCCCGGGCGGUAGAGGUAACACUCUUACGCGCCACAUGUCUGAAUCCUUUUUUUACGAGCACCUUUCGUUCUCCUUCGGUGGGGCAACCUGCCGUUGGAACUUAUCAAAACCUUUUUUUGCAUCUAGCAUUACCUGUUCAGAUACAAACAAUCGUUACAACUUUCAACAAUGGAUCUCUUGGCUCUGGCAUCGAUGAAGAACGCAGCGAAAUGCGAUAAGUAGUGUGAAUUGCAGAAUUCAGUGAAUCAUCGAAUCUUUGAACGCACAUUGCGCCCCUUGGUAUUCCAUGGGGCAUGCCUGUUCGAGCGUCAUCUACACCCUCAAGCUCUGCUUGGUGUUGGGCGUCUGUCCCGCCUCUGCGCGUGGACUCGCCCCAAAUUCAUUGGCAGCGGUCUUUGCCUCCUCUCGCGCAGCACAUUGCGCUUCAGAGGGGUGUGGGCCGCGUCCACGAAGCAACAUUAUCGUCUUUGACCUCGGAUCAGGUAGGGAUACCCGCUGAACUUAAGCAUAUCAAAGUGGGAAGGAAAU